UGAGUCUGGCGUUGCGGUGUGGCGUUGCGGUGUGGAUCUGGUGUCGGUUGCUUCGUGGUGUUGGCUGAUGGCUGAUUUGUAAACAGUGAGCUAGUUAGUAGCGUGGAGCUAGAGAAAUAAAGGAUCACUGCAGAUAGAAGCGUUGUUGAACUGCUGUUGGUCGUACAGAGUAUUGGCAGCUUUAGCCUUUAAAAAGGUCAGAGAAGACAACAGAAGUGGUGUUUAAGGUUAAGGGAUGUUAAAGGACAGCAGAUGGCAGGAAGGAUCAGUGCAUGCUGGGAGUUGAAGUUCAGGAGUUUGCCCCUCCCGAGGCGUCAACCCGUCCACACACACAGACAGAAACAAUGGUGGAGAGUUUCUCCCAGAAGAAGAUCUGAGACCAACGGAGAGGAAAGUGAGAGAUAAAGGAGCAGCAGGAACAACGGCGACACACAGACCAGCAUCUGAAACCCUUUAAAGCCAUUAUACAGCCAGCAAUUAGACCGAGCCCCGGAGCUGGUUCCAGAAAACCUUCCUCAGACUAAAACCUGCAGCUCAGCGAGGUUCAGAGUAAAUGUUGUUGAGCAGAAACAGCAUGUCGGCUCUCAGGCCCCAUUAGAGCCGACAGCAAACAGCAGAAACAACCGUCCAAUCAAACAUCCAUCGCUGCAGGACGAGUGGGAACCGACAGCAUCCGCCUCCCCCGAGACACAGCUUGUAUUAUCUGACGGUGUGCAGAGUCCGGGUGGGUUCGUCUGCUGGGAGCUCCACAGCAGCUGGAGGUUCACACACACACACACACACACACACACACACACACACACACACACACACACACACACACACACACACACACACACACAUACAGACACACUCACUCAUUAAACUGUAGCUUACUGCGCCUCUCUGAAUGCUGGGCUACUUGUGGUUCCUAUAGUCUCUAAAAGUAGAACAGGAGCCAGAGCCUUCAGUUACCAAGCUCCUCUCCUGUGGAACCAGCUUCCAGUUGUGGUUCGGGAGGCAGACACCCUCACCACAUUCAAGAGUAGGCUUAAGACAUUCCUCUUUGAUAAAGCUUAUAGUUAGGGCUGGAUCAGGUGAGUCCUGAACCAUCCCUUAGUUAUGCUGCUAUAGGCCUAGACUAUCGGGGGAUUUCCCAUGGUGCACUGAGCUCCUCUCUUCCUCUCUCUUUCUGCACUCAUUCAUGUUCCAUUAAUGCAUGUUACUAACUUCACUUCUUCCCCGGAGUUCUUGUGCUGUCUCGUCUCGCAGGUUCUUAUCGAUCCUGGUGGAGCCUCCUGCCAUGGUCCUGCUAGAUUGCCAUUGCCAAUACUGUUGUUGCUGUGCACCUGUCUGUCUGUCUGUCUCUCUCUUUCUCUGUCUGUCUCUCGCUCUCUCUCUCUCUGCCUCUCUCUCU